rnacentral:rRNA from 1 species
CCCUUAGAUGUUCUGGGCCGCACGCGCGCUACACUGAAGGAAUCAGCGUGGCUUUCUCCCUGGUCCGAAAGGACCGGGAAACCCGUUGAAUCUCCUUCGUGAUAGGGAUUGGGGCUUGAAAUUGUUCCCCAUGAACGAGGAAUUCCCAGUAAGCGCGAGUCAUAAGCUCGCGUUGAUUACGUCCCUGCCCUUUGUACACACCGCCCGUCGCUACUACCGAUUGAACGGUUUAGUGAGGGCCUCGGAUUGGUCUCGGCCCGCUCUUCACCGGGCGGCGCCGUUGGUCGAGAAGACGCUCGAACUUGAUCGUUUAGAGGAAGUAAAAGUCGUAACA